rnacentral:lncRNA from 1 species
UUUCCCUAUACAACUGACUAGGUAUCCCCUUUCCCUGUACAACUGACUAGGUAUCCCCCUUUCCCUAUACAACUGACUAGGUAUCCCCUUUCCCUAUACAACUGACUAGGUAUCCCCCUUUCCCUUUACAACUGACUAGGUAUCCCCCGUUCCCUAUUCAACUGACUAGGUAUCCCCUUUCCCUAUACAACUGACUAGGUAUCCCCUUUCCCUAUACAACUGACUAGGUAUCCCCCUUUCCCUAUACAACUGACUAGGUAUCCCCCUUUCCCUAUACAACUGACUAGGUAUCCCGUUUCCCUAUACAACUGACUAGGUAUCCCCCUUUCCCUAUACAACUGACUAGGUAUCCCCCUUUCCCUAUACAACUGACUAGGUGUCCCCCUUUCCCUAUACAACUGACUAGGUAUCCCCCUUUCCCUAUACAACUGACUAGGUACCCCCCUUUCCCUAUACAACUGACUAGGUAUCCCCCUUUCCCUAUACAACUGACUAGGUAUCCCCCUUUCCCUAUUCAACUGACUAGGUAUCCCCCUUUCCCUAUACAACUGACUAGGUAUCCCCCUUUCCCUAUACAACUGACUAGGUAUCCCGUUUCCCUAUACAACUGACUAGGUAUCCCCUUUCCCUAUACAACUGACUAGGUAUCCCCUUUCCCUAUACAACUGACUAGGUAUCCCCCUUUCCCUAUACAACUGACUAGGUAUCCCCCUUUCCCUGUACAACUGACUAGGUAUCCCCCGUUCCCUAUUCAACUGACUAGGUAUCCCCCUUUCCCUUUACAACUGACUAGGUAUCCCCCUUUCCCUAUACAACUGACUAGGUAUCCCCUUU